CGGGCGGGAGGCGUUCGAGUAACAGAGAGGGUGAGGUCGCUGAGCUGGCCGGCGCCUCGGGUCUUCUGGGGCCGCGAAGGUGCUUUCUGCUGAGGCAGGCUGCGGCUUCCGGGUCUCCCACCCAAAGCGCGGUCCCAGGGGUUCCCCGUGGAGCCUUGCGACUUCUGUCCCCGCCCUCCGUCUAGGCCACGGUGGCCCUUUAGACGUGAUGGGAGUCAGGUUUCCAACCUGCCUCCUAGGACAGGAUAGGGGCUGAUGCUGCCGAAGGAGACCGUGGAGAGGACGCAGACAGGAGUCGCCCGUUAGUGCGGGACUCUUUUAAGGCGCCACACCUGUUCAGAUGGAGCAGCGUGCUAGUCACCCUAACAGAAAAGGUCUGUUGUCCAUGGAGAGGUCCCGUACCCUCAUCCUUCGGAUCCCAGCCGAGACAGGAUCGCUUCUGGGGAACACGUUCCCCAGCUGCACAGACGAGGUUAUAGGUUAGGCGCUCUUGUAGCACUUACGGGAUGCGAUAAGGUGCGUGCUCGAUCACUUAGUGACUGUCUACACUGCAACACCGUCAGUUGCGUGAGGGUCGCGAGCACGUGUGUUUAGCGUGCUGUGGUGUCAGCGGUGGACGCUUCACAGGCACUCGGCUGUCUCCCAAAGAGGAAAGUAAUGCUGUGCCUUUUUGUCGAGCCAAACCCUCCCCUAGCUUUAUCAAUCUUCAAGCAAGUUCCCCACUGGCCACAUUCCUGAACGUCCGGACAGCAAAGCUGCCCUCAGGAGUCGACCCCAAGCCCAAGGAAUGCCUGGGACUUCUGGAACGUAUGUAUGCCAAUCUCCAGCUUCAGACCCAGCUCGCUCAACAACAGAUGGCUAUUUUGGAAAAUUUACAAGCAUCUAUGACACAUCUGGCUCCUGGGAGGGGAAGCAAGAACUCUGCCCUCCCGGCCUUACCCCGUAAUCUGUUGCAAAAUCGCCUGCCCCCCAUCCAGUAAAUGACUUGUGGAACAAA